rnacentral:rRNA from 1 species
AUGGCAGCGGGCGCGCAAUUACCCAAUCCCGAGCACGGGGAGGUAGUGACAAUAAAUAGCAAUGCUACACUAAUCUUAGUCCGGCAAUUGGAAUGAGAGCAAUUUAAACCCAUCAUCGAGGAGCCAUUGGAGGGCAAGUCUGGUGCCAGCAGCCGCGGUAAUUCCAGCUCCAAUAGCGUAUAUUAAAGUUGUUGCAGUUAAAAAGCUCGUAGUCUGACCGUUGAUCGGCAUUGAGCGUCCGUGGCUACUGGUCAUGUGUACGCGAGGUGCUGGUCACUACCUUCGGAGGAGCGUUCGUGCUUUUAACUAAGUGCGUGCGGGAUUCCGAUAGUUUACUUUGAGAAAAAUAGAGUGUUCAAAGCAGGCGUUUGCCUUGAAUACAUUAGCAUGGGAUAAUGAAAUAGGACGUUGGUUCUAUUUUGAUGGUUUACGGACCGACGUAAUGAUUAAUAGGGACAGUUGGGGACAUUUAUAUUCCAUGGCUAGAGGUGAAAUUCUUGGAUUCAUGGAAGAUAAACUACUGCGAAAGCAUUUGUCAAAGAUGUUUUCAUUGAUCAAGAACGAAAGUUAGGGGAGCAAAGACGAUCAGAUACCGUCGUAGUCUUAACCAUAAACGAUGCCGACUAGGGAUCGGUGGGCGUUAGUUUGAUGACUCCAUCGGCACCUCAUGGGAAACCAAAGUCUUUGGGUUCCGGGGGGAGUAUGGUCGCAAGGCUGAAACUUAAAGGAAUUGACGGAACGGCACCACCAGGGGUGGAGCGUGCGGCUUAAUUUGACUCAACGCGGGGAACCUUACUAGGGUAAGACAUGAAAAUGAUUGACAGCGUGCUUGCGCUUUCUUGAUUUUAUGGGUGGUGGUGCAUGGCCGAUCUUAGUUGGUGGGGUGACUUGUCUGGUUUAUUUCGAUAACGAACGAGAUCCGUGCUGACUAGUUGCAAUUAUUUACAUCUGUAGGUAAUUGUCUUUAGUUGGACCAUCAGAGCAAUCUGAAGGAAGUGACGGGCUAAAUCAGGUCUGUGAUGCCCUUUGAUACUCUGGGCGGCACGCGCGCUACAAUGGAUAACAAAACGUGUUACAUAUCUGAAAAGUUAUGUGAAUCACAAAUGUUAAGUCUCGAGUGGGAUAGUUUACUGCAAUUAUAGACUUGAACGAGGAAUCCCUUGUAAAUUCACUGAAGCAUAGUGAAUUGAAUACGUCCCUGCCGUUUGUACACACCGCCCGUCGUUUCUUUCGACUGAUACUCAUUGUGAAUUGCGGGGAGAUAUCGACUAAACGCGGUGGAAUGGCAGGUGGAGAGCC